UACGGAGGGUGCAAGCGUUAUCCGGAUUCACUGGGUUUAAAGGGUGCGUAGGCGGGCAGGUAAGUCCGUGGUGAAAUCCCCGAGCUUAACUCGGGAACUGCCAUGGAUACUAUUUGUCUUGAAUAUUGUGGAGGUAAGCGGAAUAUGUCAUGUAGCGGUGAAAUGCUUAGAUAUGACAUAGAACACCAAUUGCGAAGGCAGCUCGCUGGGACGGUACUGACGCUGAGGCGCGAAAGCGUGGGGAGCAAACAGG
rnacentral:rRNA from 1 species